rnacentral:rRNA from 1 species
GACGAACGCUGGCGGCGUGCCUAACACAUGCAAGUCGAACGGAAAGGCCCUGCUUUUGUGCGGUGAUCGAGUGGCGAACGGGUGAGUAACACGUGAGUAACCUGCCCUUGACUUUGGGAUAACAUCAGGAAACUGGGGCUAAUAUCGGAUAGGAUCUCCUGCUGCAUGGUGGGGGUUGGAAAGUUUCGGCGGUUGGGGAUGGACUCGCGGCUUAUCAGCUUGUUGGUGGGGUAGUGGCUUACCAAGGCUUUGACUGGUAGCCGGCCUGAGAGGGUGACCGGGCACAUUGGGACUGAGAGACGGCGCAGACUCGUACGUGAGGCAGCAGUGGGAAAUAUGACACAGUGGGCGGAAGCCUGAUGCAGCAGCGCCGCGUGCGUGAUGACGGCUUUCGGGUUAUGAACCGCUUUCGCCUGUGACGAAGCGUGAGUGACGGUAAUGGGUAAAGAAGCACCGGCUAACUACGUG